AGCCGAGAUAGCUCAGUCGG
rnacentral:tRNA from 3 species